rnacentral:rRNA from 1 species
UACGUAGGGUGCGAGCGUUAAUCGGAAUUACUGGGCGUAAAGCGUGCGCAGGCGGUUCGUUGUGUCGGCGGUGAAAGCCCCGGGCUCAACCUGGGAAUGGCCGUUGAAACUGGCGAACUGGAGUGUGGCAGAGGGGGGUGGAAUUCCGCGUGUAGCAGUGAAAUGCGUAGAGAUGCGGAGGAACACCGAUGGCGAAGGCAGCCCCCUGGGCUGACACUGACGCUCAGGCACGAAAGCGUGGGGAGUAAACAGG